rnacentral:lncRNA from 13 species
GCACUCACUGCACUGACAUUGCAAUUUAUUGCUGAAAACUGGAUACCAUGAGUGGCUGAUUCACUGUCCAGCAAAUUGUUAAUGAUUUCUUAUGUCUAUUCUUCUGUAUGUGUCUCUAGGUCCACGUCACUGUCUUUCUGAGAAAUACUUAAGCCUUGGAUUCAGGUUGGUGACAUAAGGCCAGACGAAUGAUGAUCUCCUCCCAGAACUCCUAAAAUGCGCAGAAAGUCUCCUUUCAGCAUUCCCCUGAAGAGCUGCAACCCAUUUUCUACUGCUUGGUCAGAAGUUCAGAGAAAGGACAUCAGCACCCGCAUGUCUGCCUCUAAUCCCUUGAUGUCUCUAUCGCCUUCCCAGCAUGCACACUUUGAUGAAGCCAGCUGACAUAUUAGAGUUUAUGUGACAAGGGAGCUUUCAGCCCACAGCCAGGGAGAAACCAAGAUCCUCAGCACAGCAACCCAGGAGGAAAGGAAACCUGCCAAAGCAUUGUGGGCUUGCAAGCAAAGCUUUCCCCCAAUAGAGCCCUUAGAGGAGUCCACCCUGCCUUUGUCAACACCUUAACUGCAGCCUUUUGGGAGACCCUGAAGCAGAGGACCACAGGAGUUUCUGCACCACGCAUGCCUUCUUCGUGCAGUUGGUAUAAGAACCCAAAGAAAGAAGAGAUGGAAAAGCACUUCAGUCAAACCCUGCACCCGUGUAAGGGAGGAGGCUUACCCCGUUGUUGCUUCAUCACUUUUCAAAUGAGUUCCAUGUUUAGAUCUUUAAAAUGUGACAUCGGCUUUUUGUUUGUCACUGGUCUUCUGUUCAUUUCAUCAAUAACACUAAUUUAAUAAAUGUUUACAAAUUAAAUGUAUUAGCCAUUUAUUCAUUUAACCAGGAAUUCCUGAGCAUUCCUAUAGACCGUGCCCUGGGAAUACAGUGAUGAGUGAGAGGGGCUAUUAUAGCGUCCACUACCGUGGAACUGACUUUCUGCUGGGAGAAGCAGACACUGAAAGAGGCUCAGGGCAGAUGGCAGUGACGGCUGUGGUCAGGGAAGGUCUCGUGGAGGAGGUGAUAAUUGAGCUGAGUCCUGAAGGAUGAGGACAGGCCGUGUAGGAAGGAGCUGAGGAAGAACCCAGCUGGCAGAGCUUAGCAAGGGUGAAGGUCUGGAGGAUGGAAAUGAAAAGAAACCGAUGUGGCUGGAGGGUGGUGGUGACGGGAGAGCAAAGUGUGAGGCAUCUGGACCAGACUGGGCCACAUUUCCAAAUGAAAACACGGCUCAUUCCUGAGACUAUAUCCCAAAUGGAGCACUCCUGUCUGCGAUGAGGAAGGGCUGGG